UGAUCCUGGUGGCAGCGGGGCCAGAGAC
rnacentral:piRNA from 1 species